CCUACGGGAGGCAGCAGUGGGGAAUAUUGCACAAUGGGGGAAACCCUGAUGCAGCGACGCCGCGUGAGUGAAGAAGUAAUUCGUUAUGUAAAGCUCUAUCAGCAGGGAAGAAAAUGACGGUACCUGAGUAAGAAGCCCCGUCUAACUACGUGCCAGCAGCCGCGGUAAUACGUCGGGGGCAAGCGUUAUCCGGAUUGACUGGGUGUAAAGGGAGCGUAGACGGCAGUGCAAGUCUGGAGUGAAAGGCGUGGGCUCAACCCCCGGACUGCUCUGGAAACUGUACGGCUGGAGUGCAGGAGAGGUAAGUGGAAUUCCUAGUGUAGCGGUGAAAUGCGUAGAUAUUAGGAGGAACACCAGUGGCGAAGGCGGCUUACUGGACUGUAACUGACGUUGAGGCUCGAAAGCGUGGGGAGCAAACAGGAUUAGAUACCCUGGUAGUC
rnacentral:rRNA from 1 species